rnacentral:rRNA from 2 species
UACGAAAGGUGCAAGCGUUACUCGGAAUCACUGGGCGUAAAGCGCACGUAGGCGGACUCGUAGGUCAAUUGUGAAAUACCUGGGCUCAACCCGGGAACUGCAGUUGAAACCGCUUGUCUUGAAUACCUGAGAGGGUGGGGGAAUACCUGGUGGAGAAGUGAAAUUCGUAGAGAUCAGGUGGAACACCGGAGGCGAAGGCGCCUGCCUGGCAGUGUAUUGACGCUGAGGUGCGAAAGUGCGGGGAGCAAAC